rnacentral:rRNA from 1 species
AUACGUAGGGGGCAAGCGUUAUCCGGAAUUAUUGGGCGUAAAGCGUGCGUAGGUGGUUACCUAAGCGCAAGGUUUAAUCCUGAGGCUCAACCUCAUUCUGCCUUGCGAACUGGGCUACUUGAGUACUGGAGGGGAAAGCGGAAUUCCUAGUGUAGCGGUGAAAUGCGUAGAUAUUAGGAAGAACACCGGUGGCGAAGGCGGCUUUCUGGACAGUAACUGACACUGAGGCACGAAAGCGUGGGGAGCAAACAGGAUUAGAUACCCUGGUAGUCCACGCCGUAAACGAUGAGCACUAGUUGUUGGGUCCGAAUGGAUUCAGUGACGCAGUUAACGCAAUAAGUGCUCCGCCUGGGGAGUACGGUGGCAACACUAAAACUUAAAUGAAUUGGCGGGG